UAGGGAAUCUUCCGCAAUGGGCGAAAGCCUGACGGAGCAAUGCCGCGUGAGUGAAGAAGGCCUUCGGGUCGUAAAACUCUGUUAUAAGAGAAGAACAAAUUGUAGAGUAACUGCUACAGUCUUGACGGUAUCUUAUCAGAAAGCCACGGCUAACUACGUGCCAGCAGCCGCGGUAAUACGUAGGUGGCAAGCGUUGUCCGGAUUUAUUGGGCGUAAAGGGAGCGCAGGUGGUUUCUUAAGUCUGAUGUGAAAGCCCACGGCUUAACCGUGGAGGGUCAUUGGAAACUGGGAAACUUGAGUACAGAAGAGGAAUGUGGAACUCCAUGUGUAGCGGUGGAAUGCGUAGAUAUAUGGAAGAACACCAGUGGCGAAGGCGACAUUCUGGUCUGUUACUGACACUGAGGCUCGAAAGCGUGGGGAGCAAACAGGA
rnacentral:rRNA from 1 species